rnacentral:rRNA from 1 species
UCCUNUGGCUUAACUGGGGGCUUGCGGUGGGUACGGGCCGGCUUGAGUGCGGUAGGGGAGGCUGGAACUCCUGGUGUAGCGGUGGAAUGCGCAGAUAUCAGGAAGAACACCGGUGGCGAAGGCGGGUCUCUGGGCCGUUACUGACGCUGAGGAGCGAAAGCGUGGGGAGCGAACAGGAUUAGAUACCCUGGUAGUCCACGCCGUAAACGUUGGGCACUAGGUGUGGGGGGCCUUUUCCGGGUUUUCCGCGCCGUAGCUAACGCAUUAAGUGCCCCGCCUGGGGAGUACGGCCGCAAGGCUAAAACUCAAAGGAAUUGACGGGGGCCCGCACAAGCGGCGGAGCAUGCGGAUUAAUUCGAUGCAACGCGAAGAACCUUACCAAGGCUUGACAUGUGCCGGUCGGCUCCGGAGACGGGGUUUCCUCCUUGUGGGGCCGGUUCACAGGUGGUGCAUGGUUGUCGUCAGCUCGUGUCGUGAGAUGUUGGGUUAAGUCCCGCAACGAGCGCAACCCUUGUCUCGUGUUGCCAGCACGUUGUGGUGGGGACUCGCGGGAGACUGCCGGGGUCAACUCGGAGGAAGGUGGGGAUGACGUCAAAUCAUCAUGCCCCUUAUGUCUUGGGCUUCACGCAUGCUACAAUGGCCGGUACAGAGGGCUGCGAUACUGUGAGGUGGAGCGAAUCCCUUAAAGCCGGUCUCAGUUCGGAUCGGUGUCUGCAACUCGACACCGUGAAGUUGGAGUCGCUAGUAAUCGCAGAUCAGCAACGCUGCGGUGAAUACGUUCUCGGGCCUUGUACACACCGCCCGUCACGUCAUGAAAGUCGGCAACACCCGAAGC